rnacentral:snoRNA from 1 species
AUGAUGAAGUUUGCUACCCCUGAAGAAUGAUGAACCCUGCCGUUACUGA